UUUCUGUUGUAUAAAAGAAAUAAAACACUUGGGGAUGUGCUGCUGUUAUAGGGAAAUAAUCUUCAGGGUGAAACAGUAACCCUGCUACAUCACAGCUUUCUACUGGCAUCAUGGGUGUAGAAAUAAUCCUGAAGUCCUGGGAAAUUAUUUUCUACAUUGAGUGGGAAUUCUGUUAAUGAUUAAAGAUGCAUUCUGCUUCAUGUGACUAAAGUAUUUAAUGUGUUUGUGUUUUUAGCUCCAGUAUCAACUCCAGUAAUAAUAAAUGAAAGAGGAAAGCCAAGUGUGAUUUCCACAGAGUCGUGUUUCCUCCUGUGUUCUGUGGAGAAUGGAGAAGAUGUGAAGUUAUCCUGGUACAGAGAGAAUGAGAGAAUCUCCAUCACCAAUAACACAGAUCUCAGUGUUCCCCUCAAUCUCCCACUUCAAAUACAACACCAUGACACUAACACUUACAUCUGUGUGUCUGCAAACCCUGUCAGCAAUAAAACAACUUCUCUCAUCAUCACACAGCUCUGUGACGUCUCAGAUAAACCUGAUCCUUUACUGCUUGCUGCUCUGAUAUCAGCUGGAGUUUUUGUGUUAUUAAUUAUAAUAUUAACAACUUUGUGGAUUUGGCUGAAAAAG